rnacentral:rRNA from 1 species
UACGGAGGGUGCUAGCGUUGUUCGGAAUCACUGGGCGUAAAGGGCGUGUAGGCGGUCUGUUAAGUCUGAUGUGAAAUCCCCUCGCUCAACGAGGGAACUGCGUCGGAUACUGGCAGACUUGAGUACCGGAGAGGAAGGUGGAAUUCCCGGUGUAGCGGUGAAAUGCGUAGAUAUCUGGAGGAACACCGGUGGCGAAGGCGGCAUCCUGGACCGGUAUUGACGCUGAUGCGCGAAAGCCAGGGGAGCAAACGGG